UUUUUUUUUUUUUUUUUUUGCAAAGAUUCACUCUAAAAGUUUUAUUUCUACAAACUCACUCUAACGAACUUUUUAUCUAAGCAAUUUUCUUUUUCUUUUCCAAAUGACAAAGGUCUCUAUUUAUAUACUGGAGUGUACCACAAAUUAGAAAAAAAUAAUCAAAAUAAAAUCAAAAUUGGAUAUUAUAUGAAUAAAAUAAAUUUUCAUUUUCCUAAAAUAAAUGAGGUAAAUUAUAUAAAAUAUUUUGAGAUUGUGUAAAAUUAAAUUAAUAAAUUAAAUGGAUAUUAAAAUAUUUUUGUUUAAAAUUGAUUUUCUUUUUCUUUUCCCUAAAAGGAUAUAAAUAAGUCAAAAGUGAUAUUUAGAAGAUCUUAUUUCCUAAAAUUGUACAAAUGAGAUAAAUGUGAUAUUAAAAUAUAUUUUUUGAAAAAUAAAUUGAUUUUUUUAUUUCCUAAAAUGAUAAAAAUGAGAUAUUAUGUUAUUACUAAUUUUUUACCUUUUUAAAAAUAAGUAAAUAAAAGUUUAACCAUUAUUACUAAUACUAUUAUUAUUUUUUUAAAAAAAUAUGUGUAAGAUAAAAAUAGGUGGCUGCAGCGUGUCACGGACAUAUUUUUUCAAAGUGUGUUUACCUUUGGUUAUAUGCUCUGAUUACCCCCAGUUUAUCUCAUCUUUAAUUCCUAUAACUAGUUUAGGUGUUUGCUUUUCAUUCUAGGUCAUAAAGCUUGGGUGUGAAGUUUCGACAUUUUCAUAUGCAAGCUUAUCAGAGCUGAAAAUGUUCAAAAUGUACUAUAGGGGAGACAUAUCAGUUGAAUCCCCACUCGAGUAUUAGUUGUACUAUUUGCAAGCAACCCUUUUUUCUUGUAAUUGACAGUCUUUACUGCUUAUCAUAACGUCUAUUUCAAUGUAUUUCUUUCUUUCCCGCGUUUUAUAAAUAAAAUUUCUCUAAAACGCCAAGGAAGGUUACGACAUACGUCGACUUUACCCACAACUCUUGAAUUUUUAUCGAUUGACUUGUUCAUUGAGCUAGAACAAGUACCGCACAAUCGUCCGUCUCGAGGUUGAAACGCUACGAUUGUGACACAGCGCAUGUUAGUCAUGUCCUUGCUUGCUACCUACCCUCUCAGAUAGUUGACAACUUACAUUGGCCAAGCAAUGAGAUUAGCUCAACUAACGAGAUAAAAAUUAUAAGUUAAAUAUCUUAUCAAAAACUUAUUACAAAUCUAACUACUAAUAACAUAUUAAUAAGUGAAAAGCCAAGAAAUGAUGGACGAUUGAAGUGGUAUAAGCAUGUAAUAUAUAUAUUAAAGAAUGUGGGUCUUCAGCCAUUAUACAGUAUGAACAAUAUAUAUUACAAAGAAAUAUCUAAAAUAUCCACUUUGUUUAACUCAUUGAAACGUGCUUCCCUUGAUGAAGAAGGAGUUCUUUCAUAGCUACUUUCAGCGAAAAAUAAUUCUAUUCCUCUGAGCAUGUCAACACCAAUUGCAAUCUUUUCACGUUACACCAGCUUCAACUACCAUCCUUGUCAUUCAGUGAAUCUUCCUCACGUGAUGAUGUGGUUCCUCGCCUAGAGGUGUUAGUCGCCAAAUGAGUUUCUAUCGCGUAGCCUUUGCACGAGAUGUCUCUGCGAUUCACUAGUUUCUUCCUUUCUAAUAAUUUCGCGUUAAAGACAUGAAAAUUGCAUAAAAUAUGCAUGAUGCUUAUGUAUGAUGUAUUUCUAAAUAUUCAUGAAUUUACAAUAUAAGUUGUGCGUUUUGGUCAGGUCCUCUGUUAUGCGUUUUGGCCUCAUUAUUCUAAUAAAAUAGGCUAUAAUAAAGGAUGUUUAUACACAUUAUCCAAAGGGUGAAGAAUUGGGAUCGAGUUUUUGGGAGGGGUCAUUGUGAAGAGGUGGAGAGAAAGGGGGAAAGAUAAAAAAAUAUAUAUAUAUUUAAUAAAUUGUUUAAUGAAAAGUGGGAGAGAAAUUGAAAUUGGGGAAAUUUUGCUAAAGUUUUAGCAACAAACUAAUUUUGUUGUAAAACUAUUUCACUUUUUAGUGACAUUAUUGUUGUGUUACUAAUUCUUGUAGUGAUGCGGAUUAAAAAUUUGUCGCUAAUAAUAAUCCCUUGGGACAUUUUUUUUGCAUCACUAUAAAUGUAUGUUUAGUGACAAAAAUUACUUGUGUUACUAAAAUUUUGUUACUGAAUAAUAAAUUUCUUGUAGUGGUAAAAGGCUUUUUAUUCGUCAUUUCAUACAAGUACAUAAUUAUUGUAAAGUAAUUGGGUUGGUUGAUUAUAUACUUGAAACUAUUGCCACUUCUCGUACGAAUAUGAAUGGGUCAUUAGAUUUCAUGGAGUCUAAGAACUGCAUUAAGAACAAUGUUGAAGUGUCUCGACAAUGUCUCAUCGGACCUUGCAAAAUGUCGACAAGCUGUCCUAUAUUCUUAACAUUGUGUGCUACAAGAUGCAAGAAAGUUGCAACUAUCUCUUCGACAUCUACGUAUUGAGUGGCUUCCAAGCCUUAUUCUUAACAUAGUACACAUCAUAGAAAAACAUCUCAAGCUAUAUCGUUUGACAUGAAUUAGACAAAAAAAAAAGUUAAGUUCAAGUAGACGAAAAUUUUCUUAAUUUAGUUUCGCUUUUAGAAAACACAAUAGUGCCUUUUAUUUUUUUUAAAAAACUCGUGAGAUUUACUUGAUUUUAACUUAGCAUUGCUUUUUUAAAAAAUACAAGAUUAUCUUCUUCUAUAAUUUUUUUCUUGAUAACAAAAGUUCUAAUAUAUUACUUUGUAACAAAUUUACCAAUGUUUCAAUUUGCAGUUAAUAAUUUAGCUUUCAUUUUAAAAACGAAAGUAACAAAAAUCCUUGUAACAAAUUUGCUUUUAAUUUCUUCUUUAAUCUUUUUUUGUCAUUUUUAUGACAUAUUUGUUUUCUGAUUUAUAAGUUUUAAUUUUAUAUGAAAUUGAAAUUUUAUAAUUCAAUUUUAUACAAAUUUUAUGUAGUUACUAAAACUUAUUCUUUUGUAUAACAACCAAAUACCACAUCAAUUAAUCACAUUGUUAUUUUUUAGGCAAAUAUUUUUAAAGAAAAAAGUUACAAACUUUUACAACAUACAAAUAUUUCUUCUUCUGUAAUUCUCCUUUUAAUUUAUUUUUGGUAUUUAACAAAAUAUAGGAUCUCAUUUAAUUUCUUCCUUCUUUGGUCUUCCUUUUUUCCUUAGCUGUCAAAUAUGUAAUCGUUCCUUUUUGUUUACCUUUUGUAUAUCCAUCUUCUAUUGGCUAUUAUACAGUGAAGAACAUUGUCCAAUUCUUUCUUUGUGUUCUCUGUCUUCGCUCUUUUUCUUUUUAGCUUUCCCUUAUUUUUAUCUCAAAAAAAAAAAAAAAACUCAUUCCAUUUGUUUCUAAAACAAGUCAAUAUCAUUCUUCUUCUCAAACUAGGCAUUUCAAGGAAAAUUUUUGUUUAUAAAAAACAUGUGCAAUCCUUUUGUUUUAUUGUAACAAGUGAACAAUAUAAAUUAACUUGAUAAGAAAAAAAAUAAUAUUACAACUAUAUUUCAAAUAAAGGAUUCUCAAAGGUUAAAAUAAAUAAUAUAACAAAUAUUAGAAAAUCAUAAUAUACAAAACAUGAAUGUACUAACAAAUUAAAGAAAUUAAAAACGCAAAAAUUCACAUACAAAUGUGGGAAGAAAAAGAACACAAUACGUAGUGGUGAGUAUCUAAGAUUAACAGAGUGUGCGAGGCAAGACAAGAUAGAACUACAAAAAAAAAAAAGUAAAAUAAAACAGUCAACGAGAUGGGAUAAGCGAAACUAAUAAUGUAUAAAAUAUUGUUAAAAGUUACAUUACCAUGUAUAUAAUAUAAGCUCAUUUCAUGAUAGUUGAAUGUGACCCAUGUAUGUAUUAACAAAGAAAAGUCCACAUAUCCCCAAACAAAAUAUCAAAGAAGAGGAAAGUAAUAAUAUUAGAAAAAAAAUAAAGUAAUAAUAUAGAUCAAAAUCUCUAUACAAAGAUAGAUUGAAAAUAAUUUACCUCUCAACGAUAAUCGAUCGGGAAUGUUAUGACCUCAAUCUCAAUAGAGUAAAUUUUAGAUACAAAAUAAAGAGGUGGUGUGUUCAAGGAGGAGAAGUGAUAUAGUUAUAUUAAAAAAAAUGUUCAAAUGGUAGUGUUAACCAAUAAAUUGUAGUUUCAAAUUAGUUGACCACCAUUAAUAAAUAAUGAAAUGAUUACUAUAUAUAUUAAAUAUAAAUUUAAAAUAUGAUUUCAAAUUUAAAUUACUCUCAACUAUACCACAUAUAUUAUAGGUGGAAGUAAAUAUGAAAAAUAUCCACAGUCAAAUCCAUGAAAUCCCAUAUGAUUCGUUCAAUUUAAAAUUUUCAACUACCACGUAAUUGAAAAAAAUAAUUAAUAAAUAAUAGAGAAAAAAUAAUUUAUAAAAGAACAAACUAAAUACCAAUCAAAACAAAAUUGUAAAAGUAAUGUGAGUAAAUUUAUCAUAGAUGCAUAAAUAGUUUAAAAAGUUAGAAUAAUAAUAUAUCAACCAGAUUUGUCCAACAAAUAAAAAAGAAGAAAAAACAUUAACAAAGAAUAUAACUAAAUUAACGUAGACCUCCGAUAUGAUUUGUAGUUAUUGAGAAGAUGAAAUCCUACAAGAAAUUACUCUUCAUCUGCCUUAAUAAUUAAGAAGUUUGAAAGUAACCUGUGCAGUGUACACAUCAAAAGAACCUCACCCACCAAAACCUCAAUCAUGCGAAACCCAAACUUCUACCAUGUCUCUAAGAUUAUGGUAAUUUAAUGUUGUAUCACAUUCGUAAAGUAAAUAAGAACAAAGGAUACACAACUUCUAAAAGACAACAAAACUUGGAUUCUGUCAUUGGAAGGUAAUUUCUAAGAGAAUGAUAUAAACAAAGAUAAUAGAUUCAGACCCAAAUGAGGAGAAUCUAAACCACUUCAACUGAAAAGAAAAUUAUUUUGAUUAUUGAACAUUAAAUCAAAGAAGAAGUACAACAAAAUGUUCUAAAACUUGAAUCACUAAACACCAUACACUGUAAAUGAAACCCUAAACCUUGCUUUAAAAAAGUCAUAAAAAGAAAUUAAAAAUCGUUAAUCGAUUGGUAUAAAAAAAAGCAGAAUCUUGCAAGUAGAGUGAAAUGGAAAAUGGUUUCAGAAGUAGAUCGGAAGAGCCAAAAAACACACACAAAAAAAAGGAUUACGUACCUAUGAGGAAGCAUUGGUAGACAUGCAAGGCAACAAGCGGGGAAGGGAUGAAGGAUAUGAAAGAAUUGAUGGAGCACUCACUUUGUGAUUUAGAAAAAAUCGCAAGUGAAAAUCCAUUUUCCUUAAUCGAGACCAUCGUGGAAAGGAAAAUGUCACCAAGCAACUUUCGCAAAUGUUGUCUUCACAAAAAUCGUUGAUUUCCCCUCCUUGUCUCCAAUGGUGCCCAUGUGCCGGAUAUUGAGCACAUUGUUCGUUCCUCGCGCUUAGCUCCUACUUUUGACUCUGAGUCUGUUGGUUUCUCUGUCACUGCGGUUACUUUGUCUGCUACUGCUGCUUUUCGGAUCAAAAACUGUCUUAUGGUGGAGUCUCGUGCUCCUGGCACAUCUAUUGUGUUACUCACUGAUCAUCAUGUUGAGAUAAACAAUCUUCUUCGUUAUUUGAAGUCUGUCUUGUCUGCUUCUGGUGAUCCUGGUCUUUCUACAUCUUGAUUCUCUUUAUGCUCAAGGGGGAGUAUUAUGUUGGAUGUGCUGUUUGUGUUUUGGGUUGUUCUUGUUUGGCGCUACUAUUAUUUUGAUUAUUGGUUGAUGAUCCAAAUACUGUGCUCCCUUGUUUUUUCUUUUUUUUCUUUUUUUUGUGAAAAGUAUACAAGAGUGUUGCUAUAUAUGUAGCUCAAUAUUUAGCCAUUAGCUUCGCACUUAGCUUUUGAAAGAACUAAAUGGAUUUUGUAUAUUCCCAGUUAUGACUGAUCUUCUAUGUGUGAACAUGUGUUGUUCGUCCAGCAAGCACAAACUAUGUUUGUUCAAAAAAAGAAGAUGUGUGUGUUUGGCAAAAAGGGAGAGUUUGUUGAAAUAUUUUGUCAAACGAAAUUCAACAUAUUUUUAAGUGUUCCUAUAUUUAAGGAAUAUUGGUAGAUCUUGAGGAGCAUGCAAUAUCUGGAAGAUUUUAUAAAAGAUAUUUAUAUAUUAAUUUACAAGAUAUAUAUAGUGUUGUUCUACAUAUUUUGGGUGUGAAAAAAAGACGCACUAUCAUCGACUUUAAAAGGGAAUGCAAUUCGGUUGUGCUAUAUCACUGUACUUCCCACUGAUUGAGGAGGAGCUUGAAUCUGUCUUCAAAGAGAUUCAUCAAUACCGUUAAGGGGAGCCUGUUCUGUCUUUAUAUCUUUAAUUAAGUUAUAAUGAUAACGAAAUAUUUGUAGCUUUGGUGUUUGAGUUAUAAACUUAUGAAUCUCAAUAAUAUUUCUUAUUUGAGCAAAGAAACUCCUCAGAUGUAGGUUGUAUUUGUCGAACUGAGUUAUCCAAAGUUUUUGUGUGUUAUGUGUUGAAUCUUUACUCUAGCUAAUUUUGUAGCUUAAUAACUUUAGAUAUAGUUAAAGGUUAUUUUUUAUCAUAUUAUUUUCUCAAAUUUAAUAUUAUCUUAACUUUUGGGAUGUUACAGUACUAAAUCAAAUAUUUUUUGUAAUUACAAUGGCCUUAUCAUUGCUCUAAACUGAUUGGAAUUUUUCUUUAGUUCCUCUUCCACUCUAUUAUUUUGAAUGCAUUUCUUUUGGUCUGGUCUUGAGAGAUUACGAGGAUGUUGUGGAAGUGACAACCUAGUUGAGAUGAUCAUCCAUUUUUCUUUAAUAUCUUGUUCAAAAAUCAUUUGGGUAUGUACAUGAUCAUAUCCCUAGCUAAUUACAUUUUCUAACCUCGAAGACCAUGAAUUUUAUAUACAUAUAUCUCAUACUUUUUCUUUGAUGUUAUAUUGUAAUGUUUAAGUUUUAAUUACAUAAUUAUUUUCUUUUAAGAAGAUAUAUUUAGUAAUUAUAAUAGAUAGCGAUUUUAAGGAUAAUAAUUAAGUGUAUAACAAUAUUUAAAAAGAAUACAAAUAUCACAAAGUCUAUCUAUGAUAUUCUUUUAUCUCGGGUAAAAUCUUAUAAUUUAUUAGUGAUAAACCAAUAUUUUGUAAUAUGGUCUAUUGGUGAUAGACUUCUAUUAUUGAUAGACUCUGAUCGAUUUUCCUAUAAUUGUAAAUUUCUUAAAAUGUUGCUACAUAUACUAAUACUUUGAAUCUAAUUGAUAUAUUAUCAAGAGUUUUUUAACAAAUGUCGUAAAUCACCUUUCAUAAGCAUUAUUUAUUAUAUAUUCUUUCUAAAUUUUAGAUAAAGUAAAAGUUCAAUAUAAACACAACUAAGAUAUUCAUUUUGUUUCUAAGAAUCUAAAUGACAAGCAAACAAAAUAACAUACUUGUAUUGAGAUUAAGGAAAGAUCUAAUGAUCAUUUUAUAUCAUAAUUAAUAAUCGAUCGUACAAAAGCAUAUCAAAUGAUAACAACGAGACCUGAUGGACUCGAGAUUUUAAUAUAAAUUCAUAUAGAAUAACCAAAUGGAACAUCUUUCAUUUUAGUAAUAUAGUAAUAGUAAUAAUAAUAGUAUAACAUAAAAAACAUGAAUUCCAUCACCUUUCACUCAAUCAAAUCCCCUUUCACAUAUGAGCACCUCCGUGGCAACACUUGAAGCUAAUACCAGUCUCCAUGAAACGAGGACAUUCAGGACAAUUCACAAUCAUCGGAAUCCAUCCACUAAAUCCCGGAAGAAUUACUCGAUCACAUUGAUGACUCUGUAGAGCCAAUUCAUUGAAAUAUUCUCUAAACACAUCAGGGAAAGCCUUUAUCCUCAAACUUUGCUUCCAUUUCGGGAACUCUUCAAGUAAUUUCAAUAUCAAAAUCCCACGACCAACCAGCACUGGGGCUGUUCCUACAGCUAGAACAACCCAACCAUCUUCAUUUUGGUAUGAUAUCAAUCUUAAAAUGUCUUCGGUUGUUUCACUUGCACUUGAACCUAUUAUUUGGCUCUUCACUACAAAAUAACCCCAUUGUGUUGUCCAAAAACGAGCCAUGAGUGAUGGAUCAUCCUCUCCUUUUGUAUCUUUUCCAAUUCGUACAAUCUCAAAUGAACCUCCAUCCAUUAUCAAAGGAUCACUUUUCAAAAUGUCAGCCCUCUCUUCAAAUUGUUGGAUCCACUUUGAGUCUUUUCCUCCAUAGAAUAGGAUGCUUUUCUCUUGCCUUAUCUGUAUGAAAAAGAUAUCAACACAACCCAGAUAACAAGUAGAAACAAACAAAAUAGAAGAGAGAAAGGCUAAAUUAUUUAUAACAAAAAUACCCUUGUCAAUUGUUUCCCAUAAUACAGUUGGGUGGUUGGUAGUUGAAAAUAGUUACAAUGUUAUUCUUGAUUUUUAAAAAAUAUUUCAAAAUAUGAAAUUCUUUAAAAAUUUGUAUGAAAUAUGGAAUUUAGGAAAGUAUAUGGUGGUGGCCUUGACUAGGUAGCGAUCCAAUUUUCCAUUCUGUGUUCUUGUUAUUGAGGAUCCCAUGUUGGUAAUAAAAUACUUAGACAGGCUAUUCUUUUUAGUCCAUUCGACAUUAAAUGAUCUGAAAAAUAAUUGGGAUCUGAUCCUAAAAUAUGAACUCAAAACAUACAUAAUUGUUGUCAUUUGUUUUUGAGAUAAAAGUUUUAUGUUAUCUAACAACUACCAUAUAAUAUAUUAUGCAUAGUCUAAAUUAUACGUAUACACAUAUAGAGGGAGGGAUGUAUUUUUUAGAUACAAUAAAAUGAACCUAUAAAUAUAGCAAAAUAUCGUCGAUAGAUACUGCUAGACAUUGAUAUAGAGAUGAUCAUAGAUAUUCAUGAGUUGCUAUCACUAAUAAGCGACUAUGAAAUUUUGUUAUCUCUAUAAUUAUUUUCAAUAGGGUUGCAAAUUAGAACAUUUUUUAUAUAUACAAUAUAGUAUUGAAAUAUUUAUUAAAGAAACGGUUGAAGUUAGAAGGAAGAUUUGAAGGUAUUUUAUAAUUUAGAUAGGAAGGGAUUAAAAAAUGUAUACAUACCCAAUUUUGAAGUCUUGGUUGGUGAGUGAAUUUGAGGAGAGUGGAAUCAGGCCAAUUUCUUCUUAGCAAAGCUUUGGCUCUAUCAUGUGUAAAAUCAAUUGCUUCAGUUCCCCAAACUCGAAUUAGAUGAAUUGCAUUUGCAAAUACCACUUUAGAUUGUGGGUUUAACACCACAACUAAUGGAUCCUCUCUAAGUUGCCAUUUUUCUUCAAUAUAUCUCAUCCCAGAUAUCUUUGUAGUAAACUCUACUGAAUGCCAUUUCAUUGUAGAUCGCAAAUAUUCAUAUCUCUUCCGAUCUUCUUCUUGAUAAGGCUCUGGGAUUAUUGGAAUCCAAAUUAUCUCAUAGUUUGCAUCUCUAGCUUUCAAUUCACUGUAAACUUGAUGAAUAGCAGUUAGAUCAUCAACGGAGAUAUCCAACCCAGAAAUUACCAAUAUCACGUUCUUUCCCAACAAACUUUCGUGAACGGUAACCUACAAAAAAUGCGUUAAUUUUGCACUUAGUUACGUUAGUCUCUUAUCGUACUCACUUAAAAGUAAUUCAUUGUCAACAAUAGAAGAGAAUAGAGAUGAGUACAAAGUAUGAUAAGAAUGCUACAAUUGUGUCAGAUUAGUUCAACUAUCUUGUGCACCUUUUGAUCUCCUUUUCCUCUUUAUUGUUAAAAAAAAUGAAUUACAAAGUAAGAGCUAGAGUGAAGCUCAAGAACAAAAAAAAUGAAAAAAAUAACAGAAAGACUAGAGGAAAGUUUUUCAAUCAAGAGAUUUUUCGCGCACUACAGAGCAGCGAAGUGAAAAAAUCUCAUCCCACAAUCCAAAAUUGCAAGCAGAUGAGAGUAUUUCAACACUUCUAACAACAUAUACCCUUUUGAUAAAACACAUAAUUUUGAUAUUUAAAAAUGAACAUAGGCAAUUGUAACAUUAUUUUUUCAACAAGCAAUAAAAUAUAAUAAGUUAUGAAUAGAAGACAGACCUCUUUUAAAGAAGAGCCAUCAAAAAGGGGUUUGGUUUCAGGUUUGCCACUAAGCAGCUUGGGAAGUACCAAUGUAAUGUCAGUCUGAUAAUGUUCAAUGUGAUCAACCAACCAUCGGUACAGAUCAACCUCCUCUGUCAUAAAGAAAAACACAACCCAAUUUAAUGUUAUUUUUAAUUAGCUCAAUUCCAAUAAAAUAUUAACAACCAAAAUUAAUAAUAAAAAUAACUAAGGAAAUUAAAAUUAUUUGACCAUGUUGUUCUCGGAUGGCGUCUAGAUGCUUUUCAAGCACAGCCAGUACAAUGGCCAUUUUUUCAGAUAAUUCAUUCAAAUAUCUCUGUGGCUGAUUCCUGAAAAAGCCAUAGUUAAUUAUAAUGAAUUAAAUUUGUUGUUAGAAAUACAAACUUGAUUUUAGAUCUUUAAGUAUUGUGAUCCAUUCCAAACAAAGGACCUAUCUACAAGUAUUAAGUAUUGUAUUAUACAUACUACUGAACAUAUUUUUAUGUUAAUAUAUGACACGAACUUUUAUCUUAAAUCAGUCAAUUAAUGAGUGGAGUAGUUCAUCUAACAUAUCGAAUUUAACCGAUUUCAAUAUUUUUUAUUAUAUGGAAUACCCAGUAAACUUUUAGACUCUGAUAUUAUAAAAGAAAUAACUGGGUAGAUCACAGCUACCGCCAAUGUGACAUUUAAGAAAAAAAAUGGAUAAUUUGAAAAGUAAGAAUAAAGUACUUACUCAGUUUCACUGAGGUAGGUGGAGAGCUCAAUUCUAGCUGCAACAAUUGUGUGUAUAACCCAAUAAGUAAUCAAUGGGAUUUGACGAAGAGCAGAAGGCAAUUCAGGAAGUUCCUUCACAUCAUAUUUAGAAAAUUCUUUAAUCUCAUUCAUGUGUUUGAUUGCUUGUAAGCAGCUUUGGAUUAGACUUUUGGGGUUGAGAAUCACUUGUCGAUAUCGAAGUGAGUCUAGGUGCUUUUUCAAAGAAGCUACUCUUUUUAUAAUUGCCAAAGAUUUUGCUAAUGGAUCAACAUGGGAAUAGUGGUGAAGAUGCCAUAAGUCUCCAUAAUCAGUUGCAAAGGCUAUCAAAGUGAGAACUGCUUUGGCUUCCCAUGGAUAAUUUGCUAAUGUUUCAAAGAUUUGUAGUGUGGUCUCAUGUGCUUUUUCUAUACCGGGAGCCUUGCAUGACAACUGAGGAUAUAAUAGUUCAACUUUCAAUUGCAUUGGAUUGAAAUUUAAAAUGAAUUUUAAUUUAUUAUUUCUUUAUACAAUGUAAUUCUUUUAUUUAUAUAUAUAUAUCAUUUAAAUUUAGAUAAAAGAAGGUCAUAUUUGAUAACCAUUUGAUGUUUUGAUUUUAGAAUAUUUAGAUUAAGAAAAUUUCUACUCAUAAAGUUAGUUUUUAGGUUUAUCAUCUAAUCAUGUAUAUAUUAAUGUUUUCAUGAGAGGAACAAAAAUUUCAAAACUAAAAUAAGUAGUUUUCAAAAAUCAAUAUCAACAAAUUUUUUUUAAAAAAAGAAUAAUUGUUAAAAUAAUAUAGGUACACACACAUGUACUUGCCUAAUCAAUGUAAAAAAGUCCUUCAAGUGUGGGAAACAAUUUUUUUCAAAUAGAAAAAAAAGUUAAAUGCAUGAAAUUUGUUAGAGAUUUUAAAAGAAACAAACAAAUAAACAAAUUACUCAAUCACAGUCAAAUAACAAGUUCAAAUAAUAAAUAAAUGAUUAUAAAUAAAAAAGUUAUUAAAAUAUUUACCAUUAUAACGAAAAAUUAUAUAAUUUAGAGAUUGAGUCACAUUCAUUAAUAGAUUUACAAAUUUUGAAAUUUUACUAUAUUUUAAUUUUAUAUUUAAACAUACUCAAUAGUAUAAUAGUUUUUUGAACUGUAUAUGACCUGGCUAGAGAUACGAUGAAGAAUACAAAGUGGAGGCUCGAUCACAACAUUACUAGUUGUCAAAGCUGCAUCAGAACGUGUCAUACGCCACUCAAUUCCCUAUAUAUGAAUACACGAAACAACAAUUAUCUAUCACAAAAACAAAUUAGGCAAGUACAACAAAGGCAAAAAACAAAACACUAACAACUUUGUGCACAACAUAGAAAUAUAAUAUUGUGUAUUUUUACUCGAUGGACAUUAUCGGUAAUUUGAUCAGCAAUUUCGAUAAUGUUCUCAAUAACUGAGAUGUAAUUCGGAAGAUCAAUUUUGACAGUAUCAUCGUCACGAUGUUUGGCGUAAAUAUGGCCAGUGACGAGGUCAUCGGAGUAAUGUCUAGUGCUCAACUCUUCCUUAGGGUUGGUUGAUUGCUUAGAAUGCAAAGGCAUAGGUGCAGUGGAGGGUGCCUUGAGUGAAGUGGCCAUGGUUUUGGGGGUGGAGAGAGGGAUAUAGAAUAUGAAAAUAGAAGAAGGAAAACAAAAAAGAUUUGAAUAGGUUUAAUCUGAUUGUGUUGGGAAUUGGGAAUUGGUAGGCAUUUAUUUAUACACAUUGAAAUCUUCAAGGAAGAGAAAAUAAAAAGCAAAUGAGUGUGAAAAGGACAUUAAUGUAUUCUUCUUGUCUUAAAGAAAAGAAUGUGAAGUUCUAGAUUUAAAGCUUUAAUUAAACACACGUCCAUCUUACUUCUUUCUUGUCUCAAUUUCUACACCUCUGCCUAAUUUUCCUUUUCUCUUUUAUUUCCAUCUUCUUUUAUUUUAGGUUAAAAAAACAUUUUUGUCCAAUCAUUUAGGAUGAUAACUUGGUAGAGAGUUUGAAAACAAAUUACUCUAAUGAAAACAGUUUUAUUCAUACUUUUACAUAUGUCUUUGAUUGCAGAUUCAUACGUUGAAGUUUAAUAUAAAUAAUGGUUUAAAAUAUAUUUUGAUAUUACAUAAAUUAAAAUUAGUUGUAAUUACUCACAAAUAUUCAGUUGACAGUAAACUAUUAUUAAAUUGCUCAUAAAUAUUAUUUUUGUUAAAAUUAUAAAUAAUUAUUGUUUUGUAGUAUCACAAUGCAUCUUAUAUUUGUAAAAAGGAACUGAGCUUAUAACAUGGCGUAUUGUGUUUCUAAAUGCUUUUUUUUUUCUUUACUUAAUAUAAUUCUACUUUUAAAUUUUAAAAUUCAAAAUUUGGAUACAAUAAAAUAUAAAAAUAUAUAUUUUUAAAUAUACACCAUUUGGAUUACAUAAUUUAAAAAUUAAUUAGUUUUCAAAACACACAAUAUAAGGGUUAUGAUUGUCAAACAAACAUUUGUUAAAUUAGAUAAAUUUGAAAAUCUAAAACAAAAUAUAGAUUUCAUAAACUAUAGAAAAGACUCUUAGUAUAACAAUUUAGUCAUCCUAUUUUUAAAAUUGUAACAAUUAACUUUAUAAUGUAAAAAAAUUCAUUAAAGAAUUAGAUGUCAAAUUUUAUUAUUUUAUGAUAUAUUUUGUACGAGAAAUGUGAUUGAACCAUAAAACUAAUUUCUAGGAUGGCAACUAACUAAAAUUGUUAUAAAUAUUAAAUUCGUUACAUAAUGAAUUUGAAGGAUUAAAUUGUUAAAAAAUGAAAAUAUAAAGAUUAAAAUUGUUAGUAGUUAGUAUGAAAGUUUGGAACAAAAUAAUUUUUAAUCUUAUAAAAGUAGAGUUUGCUUAAGGUUAAUGGAGAGGAAUCACAUAUAUAAUGGUUGUAUAUUAAAAGAAAAAAACAAUGAAUUUUAACCAUAAUUUUAUAAUAUGAAGCGAAUAUGUGUCCUAAUGAUUAAAACUGGUUUUUGGGUUUUGUUCUUUUAAUAUAACGUCACAAUCACAAAAGCCAGAAUGUGAAAUUAAUUGAAUCUAUAAAUCUUAAGCGAAAAAAGAAUAUAAUUUUACUUGGUUUGUGUUAAAGGUUUAAAAUAUCCAUCUUGGAAUAAACGUCAACGUCUUCCAUUUCACCCAAUUUCAAUGAAAAAAUAAGUAAAAUAUCGAUUUUCACACAUAACUUUACCAAAAUCUAAAAACAAAAAAUUCAAUUUUUUUAAUAAAAAUAUUAAUAAAUAAACCUUUUUAUCAUACAUUUCUUAAAAUAAUAAAAUAAAUUAAAAUAUUUACAAACUAUAACAAAAUUUGGAAUUCUAUCACUAUAUGUGUCAAUGACUUAUAGAAUUUGCUAUAAGUUGUAAAUGUUUUUUAAAAUCUAUUACUUUUAACAAUUCCUCAAAUUUUGGAUUUGGUUUCUAAUUAUAUAAACUAAAAUUUAGUAUUUUAAUAAUUUUGUGUUAUUUGUCUUUUAUAAUUUUAUUGAAUUUAAAUCGAAUCGGAACCCAAAAGAGUAUUUCACAGUAGGAAAAAUUGAACAUAAUAAUUGAAAAAUGUAUUAAAAUUAUCUUCUGACGCACUAUAGAAUGUCGAGAAUAAUGCUAUUCCUUCGGCAUUGUAAGCAAUGCGCUAGGUCAACCAUCAUUGACGUCGCGUUGAGAGUACCUUUUGGCAUCGGGAGUAAGUCAAUUCUAUGAUGGGACAUUGGAAGUCACCUAUUGUCGACAUGGCUCAUCUCUUUGCAUUUUUGGCAUCAGGAGUAAGUCAAUUCUACCGCCUUUUCGUUUGCACGUUGAGAUAUCCCUCCCCGAUGCACUAUUGUCGACUUCCUUUUCGACAACACUAUGUGAUUUGGGAGAUCCUUUUCUAAGUGUUUCGUUUUUUUUGACAAAUAUAGAAUUAGUUUUCUUUUUAAAUUUAUUAGUUUUGAGGGUACUUCAUGUUGUCUUAUUUUAUUGAAACGAUCAUUAAAUACGGUCAAUUUUAGUCUCAUUAAUCCUCCUUAAAAGUUUCAAUAACUAAUAAUUAUAACAAUUUCAUUCGUUUCCAUACAUGGUUUUCAAAAUUUCUAUGGCAUCAGUAUUUCUAUUGAAACUUUCAUAAAAUUGAACAUUCAAAUGUUUCAUAUCCAAGUCUAAGUCCAUUGCAAAACGAUCUCUAACUGUAAAUUUAUAACAAAUUAAUUAAUAAAUUCUUGUAUCAAUUUCUAACUUUUAUGAUUUUCCGUUAAUUGUUGAUAGUCAAUUUUUUUCAACAAUUUAAAAUCAACCUUUGACAAAAAAAAAAAAAAAAUCAAAAUCUCAAUUUUACAAAUAAAUGGGUAGAAAAAUGGGUAAAAUAGCAACGUCCAUAGAAAUUUGAAGAAAUAUUAUAAAAAUUAAUUCAGAUGUUAUUAUUAAUUAACUUAAUAAUGAAAUAGUAUUCUACACUUUUUGUAAAAAUAAUUAAUGUGUGUAAGUGAUAUAUAUUGAACCAAUCAAUAUGCAAACUAUUGGUGUAAAUGUAGAUGGCGUUUUUAAUAAAGUUAAUACCUUGAUUAUGUCCCAUUUCUUUUAGAAUGAUUCUGUGAACAGCCAUCUUUUUCGACUGUCGAGAAAGGUAGAACGAUGGAUGAUAUGUAUCAAAUAGAAAUUUUUGUUUUUAAUGCAUAAAACUGACAGCUACCAAAGAGAAUGAAGAAUCAUAUAGUAAACUUUAAUUCAUAUUCAUUGUGAAUAAAGUGAAUCUUCAAAAUUACAACCAACAAUUCCUAUACUUUUCAUAAAGAGGAAACACACAAAAUCUGGAAUAAUAUAUAGGAUUGAAGGGAAUUACUUUAAAAAUAAAAUAAUUUAACUUCAUUGACAAAUGAUAUGAUAAUAAAAUUGUUUUAUUGUUCAUCCAAUGCUUUUCAAUUAAAAAUACAAAUGAAAUAGAUAAAGAACAACUACAGUAGCCUCUGACUUUUAAAAAAAAUUAAUUUCAAACUUGGGUAAUGCAUAUACGGUGAUACUCUAGCUCCCUCAAAAUUUUGAUAAAGAUGGUAAUGUAGAGACAACUUGAGUUUGUGAAGUUGUUGAGUACAACAUCCACGGAAUAAUAUAAGUAGUACAUAGAUGUGUAAUUGUACGUACUUGUAAAGAACUCAAACGAGAAAAUGGUAUGAUAUUAGUAAGUAGCAAACAUCGAAACAUUGCAACUCAAAAAUAGCAUCAAGAAGGGUACGAUAUUUAGAUUUUGUGGUAGAGUGAGAAACACAUAUUUUUUCUAUGGCAAGAGAUGAGCAAAUUGUCUAGGUGGAAGUAGUCAACUUUGAGUUUUUUUAUUGUUUUAUAGGAACUAUAUCAAACAUCUAAGAAAAAAUUAAUGUAUUAUUUUUACCUAUAUAAAAGAAAUCAAGAUUUACUUUUGAAUCCAUAUAUCUAUAUAGAAUAAAAAUGUUGGUAGAAACCAAAACAAGUAUAUCUCAACUAUAAUGAUCAAAGUAACUUUAUAAUAUAUAUCAUAUGAGGGUUACUCCUUUCUUUGUCGAUUGAUUUUGAGAUAGAAUCUCAUACUAUCAAAUAUGGUAUCAAAGUCUCUAUUAAACCUAAAUAAGAUAGUUAAACCCCAAAGAGACACCAUCUUUGAGAUCACAUAUUGGUUCAUCAAACAAAUUCUCAAAACAAGUGGUGUAUCAUUUUCAAGCGUUGGGGUUCUCUUACGUGUGAAACACAGACCACCAAGUUAAAGGUUGCAACCUGAUACGUGUCGAGAGUUCUCCAUAACUUAUGACACCACUACUAACGCGUCAAGUGUUCCUGCGCCUCAUCGUGGAAGGCAUGCGAGGAGAAAACCGUUGUGCGUGGCUCAUAAGUUUCUAUUAUAUUAAUCAAUUCAAUCUAUAAUGGUACCUUUUAAAUAUGUAGUUUCUGGUGUUGAUUUAUAACAUGAUUUUUUUUUGUUGACAAAUGUUAUAAAAGAAAAAUCUUAAUAAGCUAUUCAAAGUUGAAGAAUUGUCAAAAUAAUAAAUUUGACAAAAUAUAUAUUUACAAGUUAUAGAAAAAUUUCAGAUUAUAUCAAUAACAAACCUUUGAUAGUUAUAGGGAUAUCCUUCUAUCAGUAACAUUGAUAACAGUGUGAUAGAAGCCUAUCAUUUGCUAUCACUUAUACAAUCCAAAAAUUUUGUUAUAGUUUGGAAAUAUUUCAAUUUAUUUUACUAUUUUUAAAAAUGCUCUUUUAAAAUUUGUAGUGUAUUAAUUCUUCUUUGUACUUGUGGACCUCGUCCAUUAGUACGAUUUAAAUAACUCGUGGAUGUGGUCCACAAGUAUAUUGCCUAACAUAGCAUGUUGAUGACUUAAUUAUGUUUGACUUGUUGAACUUGUGGACUUGGUCCACGAGUCGUCCACCUAUAUUUUUUACUAUAUUUUCAUCCUUUGGUCAAAUUUUGUUGCAUAUAUGUUAAGUGUGGACUCUCUGUUUGGAAUACAUUUGUCCAACCACAUUAUUUGUUGAAUUAAUCCCAACAUCUAAUCAUUUGUAAUUUUAAAUUGAUAUUUACCCAACUCUAUAUUUUUCAUUUCAUAGUUAAUUUUUCUCAAACCACAAAACUCCAAACAGCUAUUUAGAAAAUACUGCAACAAAAACUAAGCUCAAAUCUAUCCAUUUCUUCAAACGGUCGCAAAACAUUUAAAUAUUAGAAUACAUUCUACUUUACAUCACAAAUAGAUGACAUUAAUAAUAGUAGAAUAAUGCAGCAUAAUGCUAGGAUGAUUGUUGAAAAAGCAAUAACGAAAUGAAAAGAAACAACACAUUAAAUUAAUUAAAACGUCCUUUAUUCGAUGUAGUGUUCUUACAUUAGAUGAUCAUAUUGAAGCAAAUACAUAAAGUGUAGCAAAAAGGGGGGAAAACAGAAAAUACGAGCCGCAUACAUAAGCUUGAAGCUAUAUAUAUAUAUAGCAAUAAAUGCAACAAUAAUACUAUAUGGUUUAUUAUUAGUAGUAAUAUGCAAUAGCAUAUUUAUAUAUAUAUAUAUAUAGUAAGUACGUAAUUAUAUGAAGAGAGGAAUCAAAUUAGAGAACCUCCAUGACAGCACUUGAAGCUAAUACCAGUCUCCAUGAAGCGAGGACAUUCAGGACAAUUCACAAUCAUCGGAAUCCAUCCACUAAAUCCCGGAAGAAUUACUCGAUCACAUUGGUGAUUUUUGGCGGCCAAUUCAUUAAAGUAUUCUCUAAAAGCAUCAGGAAAUCCUUUGAGGCGUAAAGUUUGUUUCCAUUUAGGGAAAUCUUCAAGCAAUCUUAGGAUUAAGAAGCCACGACCAACAAGAAGAGGAGCAGGACCAACUGUAAGAACAACCCAACCAUUUUCGUUUUCAUAAGAAAUUAACCUUAAAAUGUCUUCUGUUGUUUCGCUUGCACUUGAGCCUUUCAGUUGGCUCUUGAUUAUGAAAUAAGCCCAUUGUGUUGUCCAGAAACGAGCCAUGAGUGCUGGAUCUUCUUCUCCUCUUGCAUUCUUGCCUAUCCGUACGAUCUCGAAUGAACGUCCUUCGAUUAUUAGAGGAUCGCUUUUUAAAAUUUCUGUUCUUUCCUCGAAUUGUUGGAUCCAUUUUGGAUCUUUUCCUCCGUAGAAUAGGAUGCUUUUCUCUUGGUUGAACUAAUGGAAUCACACAGAAAUAUUAGUAAUAUAUAAACAAAACACAAUUCAAAACAAAUUCAAACAUAAAUGCACAAAUUGGUUGCCUUUUCGUUUUCUUUUAAUUAGAAAUGUGACUAAAGUUUUAUAUUUACGAGAUAAAAGAGAUAAUUGAAAUUACUAAGGUAUAUAGGUGAAACUAGAAACAAAAGCAAUGAUUGUUUUGCUCAAAAUAGAUAAAAUAGCAUACAAUUAUGAAAAUAUUUUGAGAGUCGUUGUCUUUUAUCUCUGUCCAACAAAUUUAAUUACAUAUCAUUCAACUAAUAUGAAAUCUUUUGAGUGGUAACUCAAAACAAAGUCAUGCAUAAAAUAAAUUUUAUCAUACUAUAUUUAGACAUGUGAAGAUCUGUUAGUGUUAGCAACUUAGCCAAGUUCAAGUGCAAUUAUUAAUAACGAUGUACAAAUUGGUGGUAAAACGCAGAUGACAUAUAGUGAUAGUUAUCCAUGGUUAGUCUCUAUCAAGGCUACAACCAAAGUUCUAAAUUAUCUAAAGAACAAUAUCUACCUAUAUUAUUGAGCUUUUGUGGGUGGUUUUAGAAAUAAAAAACCUAAGACCUUACACAAAUAUUAGAUGCGAGCAGUUUGUCGUCCCAAAGAAUUUGAAAGGUUUUUUUUUAAAAAAAAGAAACUAUAAAUGAAAAACCAAGUACGAAAUGAUUAUCAAAUAAAGGUGCACGAGUCAUAUUAAACAAGAUUCUUACCCAACUCAAUAAUCUUGGCUGAUGAGUGAACUUCACAAGGGUUGAUUCAGGCCAAUGUUUUCUCAACAGAUAGUCAGUUCUAUUAUGAGUAAAAGGGAUUGCUUCAGUUCCCCAGACUCUAAUUAAAUGAAUUGCAUUAGUGAAUUCCACUUUAGACUGUGGGUUGAGUACCACAACCAAUGGAUCCUCUCUAAAUUGCCAUUUCUCUUCAAUAUAUCUCAUGCCAGCAAUUCUUGUAGUGAAUUGGAUUGAGUACCAUUUCAUUGUAGAUCUCAAAUAUUCAUAUCUCCUCCUAUCUUCUUCAAGAUAUCUCUCUGGGAUUAUUGGAAUCCAAACAAUCUCAUACUUAUUGUCUCUUUUCAAUUCAUUGUAAACAUGAUGAAGUGCUUUGAUAUCUUCCUCUGAGAUACUCAAUUCUGAAAUUACCAAUAUAACGUUCUUUCCCGCCAAACUUUCUUGAAUGCUAACCUGUAUGACAUGCAAUGAACGUUAAAUUUUACAACUUCUCUUUAAAUAUAAGCACUUGUGUAUUCUAACUUUGUUGAAAACAAAUAUGAACAAAACUUGAACUUUAAAUUGAAAUAAUAAUCAAUAACUCUUUCUAUGUCAAAUGACGAAAUAAUAAUUAAAAACAACAAAACUAUAUAUUGAGAUGCCAGAACGGAAAAAUGAAAAACACAUCAUCAUUAUUUGAUUCAUGUGGGUACUUCUCUUUAUAGCCAAUUUCUGGUUUGAACAAGAUGUAUCUCUAAAGUGUGAUAUCAAAACGAUCCAAAAAAUGAUCAAGCCUUGAAAUGUUCUACACUGAAAUGAUGGGAGACACCUCGUAAACUCUACGACUUUAAUAUUAAAAAGGAAUGAACUAAAUGUUUUUGAUUUAGAAAGUAUGAUGAAGGUACUAAAAAUGUGUUAAUCUAGUUGAGAUGUUCUAAUGUACAAAUUGAUUUGUGAUUUAUUAUUCUACUUUGUUAAAAAAAAAUUGUGCCAAAUAUAACCAUUAUUAGAUUCAAAGUAUUAACAUAUAUAACAACGAUAUUUAAAUAAAUCCUAAUUACGGAUAAAAUUUACUAUAUAUUUAUAAAUUUUUUUAAAUGUUAGUUAUAUAGUCCAUUGUUAACCCCACAAAUAACUACUAUCAUUAAAAGAACAAAAAGAACGAACCAAAAGAUAGAAAUUUAUUAAACUUAAUAAACCCCAGUGAUCAUUAAAGUAGUGAAUCAUUAUGGGCUCUUUUCAUGAAUUUUCCUUCCUUUUAAAAUAUAGAGCCAUCUUGGCAAUUAAAAAAUUAUAGUAAUGUAACUUUUCAUUUUUCAAAGUUUUUUUUAUAAAAAUUGUACUUUUCUUUUCUCAAAUAUGUUGGAAAAUUGACUUUCAGUAAUUAUAAUACAAAAGUCAUUUUAAUUAUAUGCAUGAACACCAACAAAAAAAAAAAAAAAAAAUCCCACUUAAAUUUGGUCAAUAAAUUAUAUAUAUAGACAUUUUUAAAUAUAGCAUAACAAAUUUAAAUAUUUACGAUUGUAACAAAAUUUUAGAUUUUAUCAAUAAAAUUAAUAAAAUUCCAUUAUUGUCUAUCAAUGUCAUUAAUAGAAACAUAUUAAUGUCUAUCAAUGUUUAUUACCGAUAAAACUUGAAAAUUUUGUUAUAUAUUGUAAAUAUUUUUUCAAAUUUGCUAUCUUUUUAUCAUCUUAUAUCUUAUAUGUAACUUUCUUAAGAAUUGUUUGGUGGAAGGUUUAUUUUUUAUUUUUGUAUAGAAAUUGAUAUCAAGGUUUAAAUCUCCUAUGUUUGUUUCACACAAUUUUUAACAUGUUGCAUGUAAAUAAGCUAUUCUUAGCUAUUCUCAUUUUCCACGUACAAAUACUUUUUAUUCCCUCCCAAAACUAUGGUUUUAAAGUUCAAAAGCUAAAUUUUGUAAUUUAACCUAAUAGGAUUUAUGAUAAUGUGUAGGACAAACACAAUUGAGUUAUGAUAUAAAGAGAGACCUCUCUUAGAGUAGAGCCAUCAAUAAGGGGCUUGGCUUCAAUCUUGCCGGUAAGAAGCUUGGGAAUGACUAAUGUAAUAUCAGUAUGAUAAUGGUCUAUGUGAUCAACCAGCCACCGGUAGAGAUCAACGUCCUCUGCAUUAAAAUAAAUAUACAGAACAUAAAUUUAAUGUGAUUUUUCAGGUCAUAGUCAUAACAAUAUAUUUGAAAAUUAGUGAAAUAUCAAUAAUGAAGAUGUUAUAUAUUGUAAAGGUAUUUGACCAAAUUGUUCUCGGAUGGCAUCUAGAUGCUUUUCAAGCACAGACAGUACAAUGGCUAUCUUUUCAGACAGUUCAUUCAAAUAUUUCUGUGGUUGGUUCCUGAAAAAAAAAAUCAUACACAACAACAAAAAAAUGUCAAAUAUUUUAAAUAUUAAUAUCGAAAGUAUGAAAUGAGAAAACAAGCACAAAUAAUUUCAAAAAUCAAAUGGGUUAUUGAACUAAACCCUAAACCUUCAUGUUUUGUCAAAUAGCUAGUUAACUAGUUUUAUGAACUUUAAAAAAGUAUCUUUAUAGACAUUUAAUUUUCUGUCUAUUAAGUUCAUACGGUUUGAAAAUGUGUCAAAUAGGUUCCUAAAAUCUUGGUUUGCUAUCUAGUGGUUCUUGGAAUAUUUAACCAAUUUUAAAAUAAAAAAUUUAUUGGAGAUAUAGAUCAAUCAAACUUUUCAUGGAAUAAAUCACUUGAAACUGUAAAUUUUUAUGUCUAGUAAUAGAAUUGUAAAAAAAUAAAUCACUAAUAGAUGGUUGAUUUAUUAGACAUGAAAGUACAAGAAUUUAUUAAAAUGAGGAUUGAAAAUUGACUUAUUAUACACUUUUUAAAAUUCAAAUCUAUAUAUUAAAUACAUAAUUAAAGUUGAAAGGCUAUUUGAAACUCAUAAAACUCAUAAAGUACAUAAUUAUAUUUGACAUGACCCAUAAAGUUAAAAGAUAAAUAACUUGUAAUUUCAACUUUGCGCUACCUUUGUCUACCCAUCAAGGCUCUUUUCUAUAACUAUAACUCUUCUCCUAUUGCUCUCAAUUUCUACAUAUUUUCUUCUUCUUGUAUUUUCUUUUUAGAAACAAAAUAAACUUGUAGUUUAACCAAACUGUUGUUAAUAAUCCACAAGAAAAAAUAGGUAUUUGCUGAGAAAAAUAUAUUAGAGAAAAAAAAAGCACUUACUCAGUUUCACUUAGGUAGGUGGAGAGCUCAAUUCCAGAAGCAACAAUAGUGUGUAUAACCCAAUAAGUAAUCAGUGGAAUUUGGCGAAGAGCAGAAGGUAAUUCAGGAAGUUCCUUCACAUCAUAUUUAGAGAAUUCUCUAAUUUGAUUCAUAUAUUUAAUUGCUUUCAAGCAGCUAUUGAUCAAACUGUUGGGGCUCACAACCACUUGUCUAUAUCUAAGUGAGUCUAAGUGCUUUUUCAAAGUAGCUACUCUCUUUAUAAUUGCCAAAGAUUUAGCCAAUGAAUCUAUUUGGGAAUAUUGAUAAAGAUGCCAUAAAUCUCCAUAAUCAGUUGCAAAUGCUAUCAAAGUCAGAGCUGCCUUGGCUUCCCAUGGAUAAUUUGUCAAUAUUUCAAAGAUUUUUAGUGUAACCUCAUGUGCUCUUUCUAUCCCCGUUUCCUUGCAUGAUAGCUAAAAAAUCACGCACACAUUAUAUUCAAUUUAGCAAUUUAAGACAAGGAAAAAACAUUGUUUUUUUAAUAAUAAGCACAUGGAAAGUCAUUUUAAACAGGCUAUAACCUCGCCCAAGAUAUGGUGAAGAGUGCAAACUGGUGGCUCAAUCACAACACUCGAUGCUUGAGAUUCAUCUAAAUGUCCUAGACGUCCAUCAGUACCCUGCAUAGAUAGAUAAGAUAAAAGGUAAAUACAAUAUUGGUUGAGUUACAUGUUCAAUGAAAGACAAAUGUAGCAAAAACUAUCGCUACGAUAAACUCUGCAAGUUAAUUUAAAUUGGUAUAUUUGCAAGUGUUCCUACUAAUACUCAUAGUAAAUAGAUUGUAAAUUUGAAUUAACAUAAUAUAACUUAAUGAAACGUAGUACCCGAAGAACAGCAUCAGUGAUUCUAUCUGAAAGGGUGAGAAUGUUUUCGAUAACUGUGAUGUAAUGAGGGAGGUCGAUUCUAGUAGAGUCGUCGUCACGAUGUUUGGCAUAAAUGUAGCCAGUGACAAGGUCGUCGGAGUAAUAUUUCAUGGUCAAUUCCUCCUUGAGGGCGGGUGGUUGCUUAGAUUGAAUCAAUGCUGAUGGAGGAAUAAUGGGUGCCUUGAGUGAAGUAGCCAUGGUUUUGGGUGUAGAGAGAAGAUGAUCAGAAGAAUAGAAAAACAAAUUAGAAGGGUAAAAUUUGGUUAUGUUGUUGUUGGUUGGAUUUGGUAACGUCUAUUUAUGCACAUUGAGUUGUUCAAGAAGAGACAAAAAGGAAAAAGAGUAUGAAGGAAAUUAACUAAUUUUCAUUAUUUUGUGUGAAGAAAGGAAUUUGUGCCGCUGGAUCUGAGCUGUUUUUUAGUUCAUGGUCCUAUUUACCAAGUGGAUCAUACUCUACACUUUAUGGUAUCUUCCUUUAAUUUUCCUCUAUUUCUUUAAAUCUCACAAACAGUGAGAGGUGGAAUUAGAAAAUAUAAUUAAAAUGUUUUAACAAUCCAGCUAAAAUAAUAUUCUGUGUUGGAUCUUCUUUUGUUAAUAUACUUUUUCUAAUGCACCUCACCAAUAUCAAAUCUAAUCAUUAUCACCUUCUUUAAUUUAACACGACUGCUUCAUUUUAUUCUUUCUACUUUCAAAUUAUAUAAAAAUAACAAACUAAAUUAAAAUAUUUACAAAAUUUUGAAUUAUAUCACGGUCUAUGAACGAUAUUGGUAGAGACUAUCAAUGUCUAUUAUGAAUAGAAUCUAAAAAUUUAGCUACAUGUUAGUAAAUAUUUUGUCAAAUUUUACUUUUGAUAAUUCUCUAAUUUUCAUUUUGUUCUAUUCUAUUUCUAAACACUUAACAAAGUUCACUUUAGGUCUUGAAUUUUUUAAAAUUGUUUCUUUGAGUUUGUGUAUUUAAAAUUUUGCUAAAACUUAAACGGAAAUGCAAGGUGGCAUGCAUGCCAAAAUCAUGAACAAAAAAUUACUUUCAAGCUACCACACCCAAAAUUUACUUUACUACCAUAUUCAUGAUUGAAACCAUAGUUUUUUUAAAUGUGGGCUUAGCUUAGUCACACGUAAAAAAGAUUGGAAAGUACAAUGAAACAUCUCAAUAGGUAUUAGAUGGUACGUGUUAUCAAAUCAUACAAAAUAUAUAUUUUGUGAGGGCAGAGGAUUCAUUAAUAACUUUUUAAUUCUUUUUAACUGAUGACAUAUAAUAGAAACAUAUAAAACACAAUCUCAUGCUGAUUUGAAAAAGAAUUAGGGCUUUUUAAAACAAGUACGUUCAUAAAAAAGCAUGUUUACGUGUAACUACAAACUUAAUCAACCCUUCUUUAGGGAUUUGCAUCAAUUUUACUUUGAUUCCAUUUAAAAUCAACACAAAUUCAUCCUUAAUUUAAGUUAUAGUAAUUAAAGUAAAAUAUAAUAUAGGAUUAAAUAAAAGAUGAAAAGCCACACCUAUAUAUACCUAAUGAAAGUCUCUCUAUUCCCCUAUCUAAUAUUUCAUCAAUAAAGUAAUAUAAGUAAAAAUCGUAAUAUAAAUUAUUCUAAAUGGAGUUCCAAUUGGAAUAUCUAAAUUGAUCCUCCCUCAUGUAGAAGUUUAAUUAAAGUUUUAAUUGAAACAAUAAUUAGUGGAGUGUUUUAAUUAAUAGAACUCUUAAUAUAUUUCUUUUAAAAAAUAUUUUCUAUCCAAAAUAAAAUGUGAUAAAUAUACGUAUUUUGACAUUUUGCUAUAUUUGUAAAUCUUUCAAAAUAAUUAUAUUUUUUUCUUUAUUCUUGUGGUAUUUUUUUAAUAACAAACCUAGUUUUUCUUUACUAUAUUUUAACAUGUAUAAAUAAGAAAAAUCUAAUUAAAGAAUGGUGUCUUAAUUAAUUACUUCACAUUUGUCAGUCAAUUUUGAAAUAAACCUUAGUACUAAUCUAAUACGAAGCCCAAACAAGCAUCAUUGUGUCUAAAAUUAAUUUCGAUUAUUUUUAUUUUUUUUAAUAAAUACAAGAAGCCAACGAUACACUUAGAUAUUUCAACUACCUUUGAUGCAUACUUAAUUAGAACACCUCCAUUAUGUCCCUAAACCAAAUUAAAGAAAUCCGAUUAUAUUCAAUAAUGAUAUGAACACAUAAAAUCAAUAUGUUGACGACAUAGGUGGUGGAAUGUCACGUGGAAAAGAUGAGGAGACUUCAUAAUAUAUAAAAUACAUAUACGUAAAUUACUUUUCUAAAUGUCAAUUAAUUUUAAGAACAAACAAUGGGGUUUUAUAAUAAUAUUUUUUGCCAACAAAAUUACAUAUUUUUGUAAAACAAUAGAUUUUUCAAUAUAUAGUAAUUUGAAGAUGAUAAUAAUGUUGACUUGUGUGGAUGAAUUGUCCAGAAAAUAGACAAAAAUAAGGAAAAAUUGUUUGUAGAAAAGCUGACAGUUAACAAAGAGAAUGAAGAAUUAUUUGGAAAUCACCUAAUUGGUUCCUUUUCCUUAAGGGACAGAGUGAAUCUUCAAAUUUACAACGCCGAAGAAAUUGAAUACUUUCGAUAAAGAAGUUACAACAAAAUCUUGAGGAUAAUUGAUUAAAGUAUUACAUUAAUAUUAGGCCAACCCUCGUCACAAGGAAAAGAAUAUAUGCUUCUAAUAUCAAGUGAUCAUAUAAUAGUAUGUACUAUUAUUAAUCAAUUCACAUAUCACAUGCAUUUCAGCCAAAAUUUGCUGCCUUGCCUUGUAGUUUGUAGGAUUAAGCUUCCAAAUUUAGUUAAUUAAUACACAUACUUCAAAUUUUAAUUAUGUUUAUUAAUAUAUGUAGCUAUUUUGUGUUUUGUUUUUUUUUUUCCAUAUAUAUAGAUUUCCUCAUUUUACAGCAAUAGAGUUCUAAAUCAAUAUUCUAAAAUAAAAUUAAGAUUUUAGAAACUAUAAACUUUGGAUUGGCUAAUUAUUAAAAUAUUGUUGGUUUUAUUUUUUUCAAACGUUUAUAUAAUAAAGCAAGAAAUUUAUAAGUUGAAGUAGUAGUAGUGUUUUAUAAGCUCUUUCAAAAGAAAUGUAUCUCAAUCUUUCAUUACAAUAAAUAAAUAAAUGCCUCAAUUUUUGGUUUGGUGUAUAGUUUUUAGAACUCAACAACACAAAUGUACAAUUUAUGGAGAACAGAUCAUGUUUAAGUAAGGUCGUGGUUGAUGUAUAAUUAAUCUAUGAGCUUUCAAUUUUAAUUUGUAGUUGAUAAGCAUAGGACUUGUUCAAUAUUUGUUUUCAAAUUGGCAAAUUUAUUGAACCUAGAGAUGAAGCUAAUGCUUUAUUAGAUACAAAAUUCAAUUUCAUAAUAUAUAUAAAGAAAAUGAUUCAUUAGCUUUGAAAAUUAUUUAAUUUAUCUUCAAAUCAUUUGAUAGAAACAUCAAAAUUUGAAUGAACCUAUUUGAUAUAAAAUUGAGAGUUUGAUUAAGAGCAUGUUAUACAUGCUUGAAAUAUUUGGCGUAGUGUGGCCACAGGGAGUGAUUGAGAAGCAGUUGAACCUCAAAGUCUUUUCCCUCACCCAGCUGAAGGAUGAUGCCAAGGUGUCACACCCUGCCCCACACACGUCUUUACUCUUCAUGCGAGACGUGGAAUGACUUGAUUAUUCUGAUGCGUUUAAAUGCCAAAACACUUUAUCACUUAAGGUCCUUUAACUUUGCUUGGACCUCUUAAAGCUUAACUAAAACAACAUACUUUAGGCUAUAAGAAUACUUAAUACAAAUAAGAUAUUGAAUAACGGAAAACGUAUCAAAUGACAAAAAUAUUUAGAAAAAAACAGUCAAUGACACCUCUUUCUUGCAUAUUGUGAAUGUAGCAAAUAUAACAAGUAAUUAGUAGUAUCAGACAGCUAUCAGACGACUAUCGAAGGGUCGGAGGGCUAUUAGAGGGUUAUCGAAUUUUAAACCUACUACUUUUGCAAUUUAAAAAAUGUAGUGACAUAGACUCUAUUACCAUAAAUUUUUUUGUUACUUUUGGAAGGGCCUCAUUGAAUAAUUGAUCCUUUAUUAAAUUUUGCUAAGCGUUUUACAAAACUUUUACAACAUUACAUAAAUACAACUCUUAAAACUUAGAAAGUAAAACGUAUGGCAGCUCUUUUCGCCUAGCAAGCCCUUCAUCUUUUUCUUUACUUGGCCUAAAGGGCUGAAACCUAGCCUUAAGCCCUUCAUCCUUUCCUUUUACUUGGCCUUAAUUAAGGCCGAAAACCUGGAAGAUAAACUUUAAAAUGGAAGUCUCAAAGACUCAAUGAGGUUUUAUGAAAACCUUUUAGCGAAUUGCUUUUCGUAAACAUUAUUUUACCAAUUUUUCAUAAAUACAUCUUUUCAUAUAAACAUAACAAAUCAAAUAAACAUUCAUUUCACAAACAACACACAUUAGUCAACAGUGAUACCUUUCGUCAAGAACCUAAAUCAUUCUCUACCCAAAGACUCAUUAUCUCACAUUUAGACUACUGAGAUGGUCUUCUCUUCGUCAACAUCCAAGAAUAUCCUAAUUUAAUUUAUGGGACCCUUGCAAAAAUAGCAAAAAAAUUUAUGAUAAUAGGGUUUAUGUCACUACAUUUUCUAAAUUGCAAAAGUAACAAAUUUAAAAGUUGAUAACCCUUUAAUUAGUGUCUGAUAGCCCUCCGAUAGGCCUAUGAUUACUAUCUGAUAGCCAUCUAAUAUCACUAAUUUUGUCAUAUUCGCAAUAUGUAAAAAAUAGGUGCCAUGAGCUGUUUUUCUAAAUGUUUUUGUCGUUUGAUGCAAUUUUCCUUAAUUUGUUCCUUGUUGCUCAAGCCAAGACUCAAUGCACAUUUUUUAUACAUUGUCUCGUCUCAUUCUACCACACACAUCUUUUAUAUAUGGCUUCCUUUACUUUUUAUAUGCACAUAACAGUUAGCUCAUUCAUAGGCGAAGCAGACUAAUGGUUUGAACAUCAUUUCACAAUCAUUUUUAACAUAUAAAGCAUGCUUCCCACACGAAUCUCUUGAAAACAUUGAUAUUGAAAUCAGUAUUUCAAUCAAUAAACACUUUAUUAAGAAAACUAGAAAUCAUGUAAACCACUUUGAAAAAAUACUCACUGCCAUGUCCCGCCUCAAAAGUCACUUCUUGCAACCAAGUGGACGUCUAUCGGCUAUGCUUAAAUACCAAACAUUUUUAACACAAGGUAGUGGAAUAUGAUUCUCUUUUACUUUUCCUCCAUUUACGCGACAGACACAAAAAAUAGAUUAGAAUAAGUACAAAAAGCAAGACUGCCCAUUUUCUCCUGUUCCUUGGCUACUACUGCUUCUUGAGGCGGGGUACUUAGAUGUGUGAAACCUUCUUUUCUUUGGCUUUUUGCUCUCUAAAAUUCAAAUAGGCUUCUUAUCAUCCUUUUCUUUCUUGCUUUUUGCCCCUAAUGUUGCUUCUUGUAGAGGAUACCUAGAGGUGUAAAGGUGGCACUUCCUCCUCUACCUAGGUUGCCCAACUACCUCUCUUAGUAAACCACAUUAGAGCUAUUCUUGCUCUGACUCAACCCCUUGGCUCUCUAGCUCACCAGAUUAGGCCUUCACCAACCUAGGUAUUACACUCGACUACCUUCUGAGUCGAGCGAUCUGCACUAAGGAGCAAUUCACUUACCAACCGACUCCUCAGGCGUAAUAGACACCUUUAUAGCCAACGUGCCAUAUAGGACUACAUUGAUAGUCUAUCUUCCUUCCUUAGCUUGACUAUGAAAUCUCAAAACUAACAUUUGCAUGGCCACAACGCCUAGUAACAUAGAAAGGGGAAAAACCUAAUGAAUGAUGGUUUUGAGAAAAAACUUUUUGGGACAAACACCACAAAGACAAUAAUAAUAAGGUCAGAUAGCAACAUAUAAAUCUCAUCACAUAAGCCACACCAUCCAAUCAUCAGUACAACAAGUGCUACAAGCAUUGCGUACUCAGAUCGUAUAGCAACCUAACGCAUUACAGUCCACAAACUUUACAACCAUUACUAUCACAAAUGUCAUCAGCACCACAACCUUAAAUCGUAUUGUAAUUUAUAUUAAUUACCGAGACCUAGGAUUCUCUCCUCACCUGGACUUGGGAUUCACACUCAACUAGCGUCAUGCGAGUUAUCUGGGAUUACCACUAGCGCCUCAUCAUAUCCAUCUCUCUCGGACUUGGGUUUCACAUUCAUCGUGCGCACAUUACAACCUCGUCUAGACAUGGAAUUCUCCCCUUCUUUAGACCUGAAAUUCUCACUCAACCAACGUCAUGCGAGUUAUGGGAUUUUCAAAUUCAAGCAUAUGGUGACAUUUCAAAUUUAGGUUAAUGGAUGGUUUGUAGAAGUACCACCUAGACACCUAAACACUUGAACAUUUGGGUCUUUAGACGUUUUGAUUGAAAACUAUGAUAUGUUUACGUCUUUGGAUGCUUGAAACAUACAGAUCAUUUUAAAGUAUAUGACAUUUUUUUAGUUUUUUGGAUGGUUUGUAGAAAUAUCACUUAGACACUUUUUAAAUUUAUUGUAGUUGGUUUUGCAUUUUGUGAUCACACUUAGGCAUUUGAAACUUAAUCUUAUUGUUGUUGGCUUUGAGGGUUAAAACACAUUUUAGCACAUUUUUAGUUAGACUUUAGUUCCAAAGUCACACUUGAGACUUAUUCGUUUUAAUGUACCUUUUUCAUGUUUAUAUAAUUUGAAGGAGCAUGGAAUGACUAUUUUUUAAAAACUUCCUGGGUGAGUUAACUAUUUUUUGUGUAUUUAAUAAUUUUUUGUUCAUUUUUGUAUGCCAAAAUGAAAUUUAAUAUAGCACAUGUACCUUGACAUUUUAAAGAAUUAUGGUUUGUCAUAUUUUGACAAAGUAUUAAUGAUUAGAAAUAAUUUCAUUUUUAAUUUUUUGUUGCAAUGUUUGAUAUAUUUUGUUGUAGCUAGAAAAUUCAUUCUAUAUUUGAAAAUUAAUUCAGAAGCAUACAAUAUUAAUAAUAAAUGUGAAAAAAAUUAAAAUUGUUUAUGUCACGUGCAUAUAUGUACUUUUGCCUACCAAUUUAGCAUGGGGAGAAAUUUUCUUUAUGUCGACAAAAACUUUUUCGUUGACAGAAACAAUUUAUGUCCACAAAACAAACGUGGACAUAAAGUUUAUUUUUUCCGACGUAAUGAUGAUCGUGGACAAAAAGAUCUUUCUUAUGACGUCUUUUUCGUAGCCAGAAAGUAUAUUUUUGUCCAUAUAAUGAUGAUCAUGGGCAAAAAUACAUGUCUGCCGACGCUCUCUUCGUGGCUAGAAAUACCUUUUAUGCCCACAUUUUAAUUUGUCUGACGACAUUUCUGUUGACAACAUAAAAAACGUACACAAAGAAAAAGACAACGGUGUUUUAGCCACAUAACGUGUCCACGCAAACAAACAUCGGCAAAAGAACUGCCCCAUUUUUCUAUGUCCACAAAGAAAAAAAUUCUUGUAGUGAAGAAAUCAUGUGUAACAACCCAACUUUUCUAGGUAAGUCGAGGUCAUUAAUUUUUAACAGAUAAAAGACUUUGAUUAAUACAAAAUGAAAUGUAAGUUAAUUUAAAAACAUCUUUAAGUCAGGCCUGAUUUUCAAAUAUUCAAGAAAACAUAAAAAUAAUACUAUUUACAAUAAACGUUUGUAAACUAAAUUUCAAUACAUCUUAAACCUCACAAGAACCCAUAAGCGGAAGCAAUAACACGUUUCCUAUGGCAAUCACGCUUCCUUCCUGCCCCUCGCCGGUUUGCCGCCUUUAUUACCUUUGCCUGAAAAUUAAACAUAAGAAGGGUGAGUAUUAAAAUACUCAGUAAGAGACCCUCUACACAUAAGAAGGGUGAGUAUUAAAAUACUCAGUAAGAGACCCUCUACUGGUCUCGUCAGGGGAAAAUAAAUUGUUAACGUUCUAUUGGGACACCCUGUACAGUCGCAGUCUUGUGAUCCCGUAGGAUGCACAUCUCAGUCUAACGCUCCAAGGGACGUACAUAUCAGUCUAGUGUUCUGCAGAAACACAUAUCAGUCUAAUGCUCCCGAAGGUGCAAAAUAAAUUGGUGAUCCCGUGGGACACCUACAAGGCACACAUCCCAAUAAAAGUUUACAAUUUUUCCCUCAUUCCAUUCAAUCCAUCUUUCAGUUACUUCAAAACAUAAGGUUCUUUCUCUCAACGUCCUAACAGUCAACUUAUUUCACUUUAGUCAUAUGUCUGUCAAUAAUAUACUAAUACAUCAGUCAAUCAAACUAUACAGUCAAUACACCCCUCAGUUCACCAGCACACAGUCAUACUUUAGCGCAACAUACACCCAAUCUAAACGAGAAUCACAAGUUCACAUCUGCAUCUCAUACAAACACAAUCUACAAAUUUCGUCCUGUCCACAUACACAGUUAUAUAUAUAUAUUCCAUGACAAUCACAAUAUGCAUUCGACAUUAAGUCUACUUCAAUUCAUAUGCAUUUAUGUAUAUUUUCAGUCAAUCCACAAUAUACAUUCAACACAUACAAUUCACAAUCAUAAGUGAGUCCAGUAGAAAAUCUCUUACCUCAAAGUUAGGGAAGCUCCUUAAUCAACUAACGUCCUCGAAACAAUUCUAAGCAUAACAACACAAAAUUCAAUUACUUUCACGAUACAUAUCUCACUUACUUUCCUCAACGUAAGUUCCAACUCACCGAUAUAUUGGAGAACUGAACCCUCAACAAUUCACAAACUGGUUGUGAAUGUAAGAGAGCUUAACGUUACUCCGACCACCUCAACGCACGACUAUCAAACUCGCAGCAUAAAUCCUAAGUGUGGGUCGGUCAGCGGUCGGCCAAAGGAGACGUGGCGGCUGCCUCAAAAUCGAUCAACGAUCUGACGCGGCGACCGGGCUUCACAAGAUGUAUGCGUCGACGGCUUCAUGAAGGUGAAGACAGACGCGGUCGGAGAGAUUGCACGGCAGGACUGCACGAACCGGCCGACGGUUGCGAGCAGCGGAUCUGGGUUACUGCACGAGCGGCGACGAGGACUCGGACGGCGGUUGUGAGCGGAGGACGUGGCGGUUACUAGUUCACACGGCGGCUCGGGCUUCGACGGAGACAGAGCAAGGGCGCGGAGACGGUUGCAGUGGCGGUGAGGGUUUCUUCGCGUCAUCAAACAUAGUGUCGACGGUAUUUGAUGCAUUACAAGAUUGUUCUUAAACAGAUUGAACCAUAUUAAUUGUAUUAAAUAAAUCGUCGUUUUCAUCAGUUUCAUCCACUGUAUUUUCCAUCGUGUUGGCAACGUUAUAUGAGUUCAAUUCUUCACCAUGCCAGAACCAUACCUUGUAACUCUUAUCAAUUCCAUUGGCAUACAGAUGAUACCGAACUGUUGAGACAUCCUUAAUUAAACGAUUGCCGCAAUUCAAACAUGGACAUCUAAUUGAAUUAAGACCUUUGGCAUGACUCAACCCAAAUUUAUUGAGCCUUUCGACUCCUAAAUCAUAUUCUCUUGACAUCCUAUUUUGGGUCAUCCAUGACUUGUCCAUUGUGUAGAGGUCUAAGUUGGCCUCGAAAUAAACCUGAUUACAAAAGAGAUUAUAGGCAACAACUUUUAAAACUCAAACUUUCAAAACGGUAGAUAAUCCUCAAAGUACUUAAUAAUUUAUUUCAUACCAUUUAGGAAUUUUCUAGCUGUGGUGGAAAUGAUUGUGGUAGGAAAUAGCGCCACAGAUAGACACACAAAAGUAUAUUUUCCAAAAUAGAUAAUCAACAUCAAAAUUAUAUAUAAUAAAGAAAAUAUUGUAACUAUAUAUACGAAGAAAAUAUCGUAAUCCACCUAUUAACACUCAAAUACCAUGGAACGUUCUCCUAAGACUUGAGUCAAUUCAGACCUCCCCUAUUGGAUUUUGUCGACUUUGACAGUUUUGAAGACUUUCGUCCAUAUUAAACGAAUCACUCGACUGCCAUGAUGAAAACUAAUUAAAUUUGUUACAUUAAUUUGAAAGGUUGUCUCAUUACCACAUUAGUGAUGAAACCAUCUGCAAGGAAACUUCUGGACUAAGUUCAACAACCCCCAAUUAGCAUAAAACAUUUGAAGGACAAUUUCCUUUACAGACAUGAUGAAUGAUGAAGGGAAUUAGUUGACAAAUAAUUAUAACAAUAGUUUGUCUUUAGUUAGUUGAUUAGGGUAGGUUUGUAUAAGUACUUUGGCUUACAUUGUACAAGUAAUUAGACUAAUAAGCUAACUCAGAAAUUAAAAUUGAAGAGAAACUAACCGUUAGAAAACAGAAAUUGGGCAUAACUCAAAUUCACAAAAUAAGCUCAUGUGGUUGCAAGAACGAAUUAAAGUCAUAUAACAGAAAAUCAACGAUUAAUGACUGAAAUUGGGAUAAACUGAAACUCACGAAACAAUCCAAUGGAGACAACGAAGAACUUCAUAGAGAGAGAGAGAGAGAGAAAGAGAUAAGGAAGAGAAGCUUACCGGCGAAGGGGAGGGGUGACGACCGACGCCCACGAUUUGAAGCUUCGGGUUGAUUGGAGAGGUUUGGAGAAGACGGGGGUGGUGGCAACGGGUUGGUGGAGAAGGUUUCGACGGACGGACAGGAGGGGGGUGGUGGUGGCGACGGGACUUCACGCGGAUUGGAGGAAGAAAUUGGGGGAAAUUUGGGGGAAAAUUAGGGCACGCGGAUGGGAGGAAGAAUUUGGGGAAAAUUUUGGGAAAUUUGGGUUUUUUUUUUAAAAUAUAAAUAUGUAAUUUUAAUUUUUUUAAUAUAAAAUAAUAAAUUUUUUAAUGGUAACAUUCUAUGACAUCAAAUAACUGUCGCGAAAUGUAUUAUCCGAAAAAUUCCGUCUUUUCCCGCCAAAAACGCGAAAUUUUCUAUUUUGUGACAGUUUUUUUUUUCAUUCAUUUUUUGAGAUAUAUAACUGUCAUAGUAGACAGGUUUUCUUCUAGUGGAUGCCCAGUAAUUAAAAAUAAAUUAACACAUAAUAGGAUACCCAGUAAUUAAAAAAGAAAUUAACACAGAAUGGAUGCCCAGUAAUUAAAAAGAAAUUAACACAGAAUAGAAAGUAGAAUGCCAGUAAUUAAAGAAAGAUGCUAAUUUAGCAUGUAAAAUGAUUAACACAACAGUUAAUAAUUAAAGCAGUAUCAUCAAGCAUGAAUAAUAAUAAAAAAAAACUUACCAAUAGGUCUGCUCUUAAAUGCCAAAGGUUAUUUCUUGAUCAUUUUCCACUCUACACCUCUUCCUAAAUCCCCAAAUGAUAAAAAAUUCUCUUUUUUCUCUCCUUUUUAUAAUCUUCUUCUUCUCUAGAGUGCUCGACCAUCUUCACACGUAGGCUAUCGACAGUUUGGCAUAGAGAACAAUUGUGUACUUCCACAUCUACUAUUUGUGUUUCCCGUUUACCAAUUGACGAUUUCAAAUCAUUGACAAGCUCGAAAGAAUAUUCAUUCAUGCUUUCUAAGUCUUUAAUAUAUUCAUCUUGCGAUUCUACUGUUGUCUGUAAUAUUGUCUUUUCAUUUUUCAAACUUCUAUUAGAUUUAUUCAUUCGUCUCAUCCCUUCAUCUAACACCUCAAGAUUCUUUUCUAACUUAUCUUGAUUUUUUAAGAAACUCUUGGUCUUUUCAAGCUCUUUAUGCAAAAAAGUCGCAUGAUCUAUCCAUUGGCUCGUCUCCUUUUGAAGUUUCUCAUUCUCUUACUCUAACAGUCGAUUUUUCUCUUCUAAUUUAAUGAUCUUCUCAACCCACUGGUCUGAUUGUUCAAAGCUUGUCUCCUCUACCCUUUCAACUACCUCCCUUAAGGUAUAUAUUACAUUUUUCCUUCUAUUAUUUGUCUGUCACGCCUCAUAUCCACUAGUAACCUCGUCAUAGUGUCCUUUGUCUUUUAUCUUCCUCACAGACUUCCAUGCACAUAUUACUCGAUGUUUUUUCUUUGACAGUCUUCAUGAUCUUAUGGAAAGUCAGAGUCUUGUAAAUUAUGAGUUGGUGGUAUAAACUGUUUGAGCCAAACUUGACGCAAAACUAACAAUGGUGUAUAGUUAACACCUCCCCACGGUCCCAACAAAUGCACACUAUGAAAAUCUCCAGAUCUGUAAAUUACUGCUUUCAAAGGCAUCCAUUGGGCUUUCCAUAUGACAUUUUUAGAACUCAACGUUGAAAAGAAAGACACCCAAGUCUCCUUCUUUGGAUAUGUUGGGUCCCAAACUGCUAUACCAAACUCACUAAAUGUGUUUCGCAUUAAGUUUCAUGGGCUACUGAAUUCUAACUUUGGACACCUAAACUCUGCCGAAAAUUUGAUAUGGCUGUGUAUCCAAAUAUAUAAUAAAGAAACACAACAAUUCAAUUUUCCUGCACCUUUAUUUCUACAAAAGUUAAGGGAUCGAAAAGUUUCAGCCAAUAUAGGUAUAAUAGGAUCGACUCGUUUUAUUUCAAAGAAUAAUCUGAUCACUUUCCCAUCGACAUAACCUUCUGCUUUAGGAAAAAUCACCGCUCCAUAAAUGCAUAAUGCCAAGAGAGCAAGACAUUUGUCUUCAACAAUGUAAGUUUAUGUCAUCAUUAAUAGAUAGUCAAAUGACACAUUCUCUUCCCCACCCUUAACUUUUAUAUGUUUAUGAAUUUCAAUGGCAUGGACGGUUUCUAAAACUUUUGACAAAAUCCUUUUUGUUGUUUGCUUAGGGUUAAAGAAAUAAACAAUUUUCCUUUCCUUUCCAGGCAUGCUAAGCAUAGCUUGAUAUUCUUCUAUGGUUGGCAGUAAAUCACAUGACCCAAGUGUAAAACAAUUAUAUGUUGGAUCCCAAAAAUUAAUUAUGGCUCUUAAAGCAAAAUGAUUCACCGGUAUGUACAUCAACUCUGCUAUAUGUCCAUAUUUCUUCGAAAAAUGAAUCUCCGUUGAGGUGUCAAUGCCUCCCAAAUCAUUUUUAGUUUUGCUAAAUCAUUUUGUGUAAAAGAGAGCUGACACUUGGAUAGUACUGAUAUUUGAGAAGAAUUAUUUAUAUUAUCCCCAAAUUUUUGUUGUGUCUCUUCACCCCAUUUAAGAACAUCACUUGGCUCAUCAAACUUAGUUUCAGAAGAUGAAUGCAUUGACAUAUUGGACAUCCUGGUAUUUUAACAACUAUUUUUUUUUUUUUUUGCACAAUUAUGACAAAAAGAUAUAGUCAAAUCACUUUGCACAAUAAUAAUAAUAAUAAUAAUAAAAAGUAACAAAACAUGAGAAAAAAAAAAAAAGUAAUAAUAAUAAUAAUAUAAUAAAUAAUAAUAAUAAUAAAUAAAUAAAUCAAUAAUUAAUAAUUAAUAAUAGAAAAUUAAAAAAAAUCUAAAAAAUGUAAAAUAAUUAUAAAUAAAUAAAUAAUUAAAUAAUAAUUAAAUAAAGUUUUCAUGCACUUGUAAGCAUUGCUCUCCUUAUGGUUGAAAUCAAAGACCAAAUUUAAAGGAAAAAAAUUAAAAAAACAAAGAAAAUUGAACCAAAAUUUCGUUUCUUUUAUAAAUAUAAAUAUAUUGUAGAAAAUACUAUGAUUAAACCCCAUUUUUUUAAAAAAAUAAAUAAAAAGGAAAUAUGUCAAAUUUUAUAAAAAUGUGAAACUUUGUUUUUUUUAAAUAAUAAUAAUAAUAAUUUGCAAAUUUUGACUUUGGAUAAAAUAAGCUAGAUAGAAAAAUGAUAUGGUGUCAGUAUCAAAACUCUUGGAAGAAAAAGACCCUCAAACUUAUUCUAAUGUUAUUUAACUAAUAACAGAAGAAUUAAUCUGAGCGAGGAUCUUUCAUGUGCCUGCACGGGAGUCGAAACCCCUCGAAGGUCAACACUACUCUGUCCUCAAUUCUAGUCCUAUAAGGUUGUAGCCCGGGUAGAGGGCUUGUGAGUGUAUGUAAAUGCAUGAUGACAUAAAAAAAUAUACCAAUAACAUAGUACAAAAUAUUAUAUAUGAAUCAAAUAAAAACAAAUAAUUAAGUGAAUCAACAUAUUAUAAUAUAGUAAAAAUAAAAGAUAAAAUAUAUGGCUCGACUCUUCAAUAUCCCCAGUGGAGUCGCCAAGCUGUCGCGACGUGAUCGCUACGCGGAGUGGCCGACCUCCCCGUUUAUUUAAUUUUAAUAAAUAAUUUUGGAGUCGCCACCAAUCAUAUUGAGGUGUGAUUGGUCACCCAAAAAAGAAAAAAAAAUUAUGGUCUACGUAAAUUCAGAGAUUUAAGUUCGGGACUCAGUUGUGUGUAGGGAAGGUGUUAGCACCCUACAAUACCCACAAAAUGGUUACCCAAUUUUAUCUUUUAAAUUAAAUAUAGGGGUUCACAAAACAAAGUUUUUAUUUAGGUUUUGUUUAAAUGUCUCAUGUUUAUCAAUUCAUAUCGAAGAAAGUAAAACCUAAGCAUGAAUUGAUAAUUAUGGGUGGCAUAAGAGCCAUUAGAAAAAUUAAGUUUAUUUUUGUUUUAAAAGAUUUUUAUUCACCUUAAAAAUAUUAAGAUACCAAAACUUGAUAUUUUAAUCUCUAUCAUAAAUGUUUAAUGAGAAAUUUCAUGUAUCUAGAAUUAAUAAAUUCAUAGAAAACACUACUCAGUCUCAUUUAAAAUAUGAAAUGUGUUUAUUUAAAAACAAUCUAUUAAUUAAAUUUAAAACGAAAAAAUUUCAUGUUUUCAUGGAUUUUAAAUUAUAAAAUCCAUAAAAAAGAAUACUUUUUCUCCAAUUUACAUUUUUAUAUUUAAAUUGAAAAAUGAAUAAUAACAAUGAUAAAACAUUAUGAAAUUUGAAAAACACUUGAAGGGUAAUAUGCUGAGAUAAAAUAAAUACAUUGAUAAUAUAGGCAAUAUGCAAAAUUUACAAGAUGAUUAACGUAGGAUGCAAGAUAAUUAAUUAAUACAACGCAUGCAAGAUAAUUAAUUAAUACAACACAUGCAAAAUAAUUAAUUAAUUCAAAAUGAUGCAAAAUAAUUGAUUAAUGCAUAACUAAACGAGGAUGCCAAAUUGAUAUCAAAUAAUAAUUAACAGUUGAAUGUCAAACUAGGUUUAACGCAAUAUGCAAAUAAAUAAUCACACCCAAAUGAAUAUCAAACAAUUAUAGCAAGAUGUAUACUGGUUAAUUAAUUAAUACAUCAUGCAAAUAAUUAGAAUAAGUGAGUGAAAAACGUCACAUACAAGUUGCUAAUUAAUUAAUAGGCCAAAUGGAAAAUGAGUGUUGCCAAAUACACAACAUUAAUUAUAUCAUGAAUAAUUAUAAACAUGGAUAAUUAUUAACAUGGAUACUAUAUGGAUAGCAGUAAUUAUUAACGCAGUAUGUCAUAUGGAUAAAGUAAUUAACAAAGACCGUAAAAUGGAUGCCAAUAAAGAAUGAGUAUUACCAAAUACAGGAUGCUAAUUAAUUAAUUAUGCAUAGGAUGCCAUAGGGAUAUAAGUAAUUAACACAGACGGUAAAAUGGGUGCCAAUGAAGAAUGAGUAAUUAUAAUUAUGCAUAGGAUCAAGCUUUCACAAACAUUUGUUGUCAUUAUUUGAUAUCUUUUUUCUCUAGAGUAUGCGCGUGAACAUCUCUCAAAACCAACUUUCAUAAGGUAUCCUUUAAUAGAUGGGUAUAUCGACUCCAUCCAUCUCAUAUACAACUCAAAAUUAUCUACUAUAUAAAAGUAUGCACAUUGACAAAAAAAGCUUUUCAAUUAAAGAGUCUUUAAAUGACAACUUGACACUCUUCAAAAGAUGUUUUACACAAAGGAAAUAUUGUACCAAUGGAAACACAUCUAAAACACCUUUCGAAAUACUUAUAUGUCUAUCAGAAAUAAUAACCAAUCCCUCUCGAUCUCCAAAAGAAAGUUUUAAUUAUUGAAAAAACCAUUUCCAAGAAGCAUCAUUCUCUGAAUCUACUAUACUAAAUGCAAGAGGGAAAAUUUUACUGUUACCAUCCAUAGUUGUUGUCGUUAACAAUGUUCCACCAUACUUACACUUUAAAAAUGUCUCCAACCUUCAAUUGAUGAUGCCAUAGCCAUGAAACAAUAUUUGAAAUGGUCAUUUGCAUCUAUUUCAUAUGCAGUAAAUGAACCUACAAAAAAGGAAAAAAAAUAGAACAAUCAAAUUAAUAAAAGCACUAAAUAGUAAGUGCAUACAUCAUACAAUAAGUAUACUUCAUCAUAGGUAUUUCAGUAAAAUGAUAUACAACAACUAGCUAGUAUACCAACUAUACAAGUAAAAUAGUGAAUGAAAACAUAUAAUUAGUAUUGCGUACAUCAUACAAUAAGUAUACUUCAUAAUAGGUGUAUCAAUAAACUGAUAUACAAAAGUUGGCAAUAGUAUAAAAAAAUGAAAUAAAUUGAACAAUAUACUAAAUUAAGUGGUAGAAAACAACCUGGAUUUAUUUUUUUUAGUUUUGAAAAGAACUUUGAAAUCAAAGCAUAAGAAUUAUUGGCUUCUCCUUUCAACAACUUCAUAACAAAUUCUUUUGCUCUCCGAGCCUUAUAAUAACUAACAGAAACUCCAUAAUUCAUACGCAUAUGGUGAAUGAUAUCUUUUGGUGUUUAAUGAGAAUAACUAUACCUCAAAUAAUAAUCAUACAUUGACUAACAAAUUCUGAAGAUGCUUGCUUAUGAGAAGAAUGAACAAUCAUUGAGCAACUAUGAUCACUAACAUAUUUUCGAAUCAUCCAUAAUUCACUUCUUUUAUAAUGCGAUGCUCUAACAAACCAAAGACAGUCAUCUUCAUUACAUCCCAACUCAAUAGAUCUUGAAUUAGAUCUCAAUGUCUUAAACUCAAAAUUAGUCUUGACAGCUAUAAAGCGAAAUGCCUUUAGCAAAAUUUCUUUACUACAAAACAAAUCAUUCUCCUUAAAAGCCACCUCAUCAUUAGUAUUAGUAAUAUCAACAUCUCUAAAAAUUGCUAAUUCACAUCCUAAAUCAACCUCAACUAUGGAAGAAGAAGAACCAAUUGACACAUCCAAUAUCGUGUCUAUAGAAUGAGCAACUAAAGAAUAUUGGGUAGAUUGAUCCUUAACCAAUGUCAAGAACCAAGUCACAUAUUUACUUUCAACAAUCUUAAGAACAUGUUGAACACCAUUACUACUUAUAGAUAAUAAAACUGAAAGUUCCAUACAUGACUCAAUAUGAAUUUCAGUACGUAUCAAGUUCACAAAAGAAUCAAAUGAUGUCACUCCAUCAACCAAAACACAAUUUGUUUUGUAGUCCACAUAGCACUGUUGCUCAUCCCAUUGACCACUAUGAAAUACAAUGACUGCAAGCUUAACCAUAACUACAAUGAACUGCAUUCAUUUUGAGAGAAUAAAAAAUAUGUAGUAAGUGUAUUAGUCAACUAAUACAUAUAAUAAAAGUACAUCAAAUUACUGUAAAAAAAACUGAUACAAAAUUUAAAAAAAAUAAAAACAAAAUCAAACUCUGCAAAGCCCCAUUCGGUAAAAGAGAUGAGAAACAAAUAAAAAAACAAAUAAAAUAGAUGAGAAAGAACAAAUUGUAGCCUUAAUUUCUAAUAGGUGACGAUCGAUUCACAUAAAAAGAAAGAAACGAUGAUGAUCGACUCAAAAAGAUAGAAAAGAUGAUGAUCGAUUCAAAAAAAGAAAGAAAAGAUGAUGAUCGAUUCAAAAAAAGAAAGAAAAGAUGAUGAUCGAUUCAAAAAAAGAAAGAAAAGAUGAUGAUCGAUUCAAAAAGAAAGAAAAAAUGAUGAUCGAUUCAAAAAGAAAGAAAAGAAGGACUUUAAAAAAGAAUAUGGGAAGAAAUACAUACUUGAACAAGAAGAGACGGUGGAGAAGAGGAAGAAAAAGAUGAGGAGAAGAGAUGUAGCGAAUAGGAGAAAACAAGAACGGUGAAGAUUGAAGCACAAAGAAAACCAUGAAAAGGAAAAACAAUAAAAAGAGAACGAAUAAGUGACGGAAGAGGAAGAUGAAGAGAAAAUAGUGCAUAUUUAAGAAAAAUGCAUUUUUGGAAUAUGAAAAAAGUAAAACACACAAUAUCAACACAAAAUAGAAAAUUGUCAUAUUUGCAAAAUUAAAAAGGUUGGUGCUAUUAUUGCUAAAUCCUAUUUGUACUGUGUCAUCCAAUACAAUUUCCUUAAGAUUAAUGUAAAGUAUUUGCGUACUUUGAUACAUGGUAAAAUAUAGUUAAUUGUAAAUACAAUUUAUAAUAGAGAUCGAAUAUAUUACAUGAGAGAUAUAUUGGAAUGAGAUUCAAAUAUAAACCUAGAGUGUAAGAUUAAUGUGAACGAGAUUCAUAGGUAUAGUAUAGAAAGUGAUAUGCAUAUAAAUAUUUGAUAUUUAUAGAUAUUAAUUAAAUAUUAUUUGAUUAAUAUUUGAAAGUGUAUAUUAAUUGAUGAUUUAAGAGAGCUCAUCUAACUCCUUGGACUCCUAGAUAAGAAAGUCUUUGGUGGUGGGGUUCUUGUUCGUUGAGAAGUCCAAGAAUGUUUGGGAACAAAAACAAAAAAAAGAAUUAUAGAAAAAAGAAAAUCUGCAAAGGGUUUAGUUUCUGUUUCAUCUCCUUCUCUACAUUAAAAGCAUGCUUAUGUAGUUUAAGUUUUUUCUGUCACUUCAAAUAAUGCAGGGCUAUUUUCUCUAAAUUUAGUGUUUCAUUAGACUAAAUUUCAAGUUGCAUGGACAUCACACGUUUCUAUGGAGAAGUUCGUUUUCCUUCAACGAUAUCAUAAAACACAUAUUGAAUCGAAAUUUAUAAAAAGAGAUACAAUUAUCAUUUAGUUAAAUAACAUAAAUAAAUCGUAAAAAUAUUCAAUAGAUGAUAACUAGGGUUGAGACCAUAUAUCUCGAUUACAUUAGAAAAAACACACACACAACUCAAUUGCCACCAAAAGAUGGCAUCAUUUAUUAUACAUAGUAGUCUUAAUUAGUAGUAUAUGAAUAUAAUAAAAUGAUAAAAUAUAACUCACUUUGGAUGAUCACAUAUGAGCACCUCCGUGGCAACACUUGAAGCUAAUACCAGUCUCCAUGAAACGAGGGCAUUCAGGACAAUUCACAAUCAUAGGAAUCCAUCCACUGAAUCCAGGAAGAAUUACUCGAUCACAUUGGUGACUACUGAAAGCCAAUUCAUUGAAGUAUUCUCUAAACACAUCAGGGAAAGCCUUUAUCCUCAAAUUUUGCUUCCAUUUGGGGAAAUCUUCUAGUAAUUUCAAUAUCAAAAUCCCACGGCCAACCAGCACUGGGG
rnacentral:lncRNA from 1 species